rnacentral:lncRNA from 13 species
AUGGGAGAAAACAUUCGAGCCUCUCAGGAAGACUGCAUAGAGGAAGCAUUUGUAUGGGAUUUGCAAGGUGCUAGGACCCUACUUGCUUCUCUUCAUUGCUGUGGGACCAGGAACAAGCCCCAUUUUCCCAUGAUGUGUGUUUGCAGUGACUGCUGGGUUGGUAGGGGUGGGGGGUCUUGCCACCUCACUCACUUGGAUCUGUGUUCUCUGCUUCAACAGAAAAGAUCCUGCACCGUCCUCCAGGAUCCAAUGGCCUUGGGGAAAGGGCUGCAGGGCCCACGGACAUUGCUGACUCUUCGGAACGUGCUGACAUGGAGCCAGGUAGACUGAAAUUACCAUGUGUCCAAAUUAAAAUUGCAUACUUCAAGGAUUAUUUGAAGGACUAUUCUUAGACCCUUUUAAGAAGAUUUAAGAAAAGUGAGUUGAUUUUUUUUUUACACUGCAGAGAGUAUUCAUGAUUUUAGUUAAUAUUAUGGGGUCUUUUUUUCUCUACCUCUUAAAUAUGCGUUAAUAGGUAGGCUUUAUCUUCAUUUAUUUUACAGUAAAGAUUUUUUUCCCUAAGAACAAUGAGCAGAGUGCAGGAUGACUUCUUGUCUUCCCUGCAAGUUUUUUGUAUGUUUCAAAGGCUUGUGGAAUCUUGGCGAUAAAAGAGUUUUAGAGGUGUGGACCAUUCAUUCCCUGACGGAUCCAUAGAUCCCUGGCCUGUUCUUGGAAACUUGCAGAGACUGGUACGGAAGUUAGUAUCUCCCCACAUUUAGGAUUUUUAUAGCAUUCUCCCAUAAUCUGGACUUGAAGUCCACUCCUCCUCACAUCUUGUCAAGGCUCUUUCUUCUCUACUAGACAUCCUAAAAUGGGUGAAUAUAAACAGCAUGUCCCUCCUCAAGAUCUUUUCUUAUUCUUUGUUCCUUCAAUAAUUUCUCAUAAGUUAGUUUGAAGAGCAGUUCCCACCCUGGUCAUUUGGAAUACAAAGAGCACCUCCAGUGUCCUUUGCCCAGUAGGUGGAUGAGAAUCAAAGCAGGAUAAACCCAAAGAGCAGGCCUGGGGUCAGCCCCAGUUCUACUCUUGUUGUGUUUCAGGAAAGUCACUUCAUCAUUCUGAGCUUAGUGAAAAAAAGGAAGGU